rnacentral:rRNA from 1 species
CGCGGCCUAUCAGCUUGUUGGUGGGGUAAAGGCCUACCAAGGCGACGACGGGUAGCCGGCCUGAGAGGGCGACCGGUCACACUGGGACUGAGACACGGCCCAGACUCCUACGGGAGGCAGCAGUAGGGAAUAUUGCGCAAUGGACGAAAGUCUGACGCAGCAACGCCGCGUGAGGGAUGAAGUACAUCGAGAUGUAAACCUCUUUCAGCAGGGACGAAGCCAACGUGACGGUACCUGCAGAAGAAGCACCGGCUAACUACGUGCCAGCAGCCGCGGUAAUACGUAGGGUGCAAGCGUUGUCCGGAUUUAUUGGGCGUAAAGGGCUCGUAGGCGGUCUGUCGCGUCGGAUGUGAAAACUCGGAGCUUAACUCCGGGCCUGCAUUCGAUACGGGCAGACUAGAGUUCGGUAGGGGAGACUGGAAUUUCUGGUGUAGCGGUGGAAUGCGCAGAUAUCAGGAAGAACACCGAUGGCGAAGGCAGGUCUCUGGGCCGACACUGACGCUGAGGAGCGAAAGCAUGGGGAGCGAACAGGAUUAGAUACCCUGGUAGUCCAUGCCGUAAACGGUGGGCGUUAGGUGUGGGGAAUAAUCUACAUUCUCCGCGCCGCAGCUAACGCAUUAAGCGCCCCGCCUGGGGAGUACGG